rnacentral:tRNA from 1 species
GGGCUCGUGGUCUAGUUGGUUAUGANNAUGACGUCGCCUUCACACGGCGAAGUUCCGGAGUUCAAAUCUCCGCGAGCCCA